GAAAAUCUCAACUUUAUUAGAAGAGACGCAUUUAUUAGAUAAAAAGCCAAUGCAUGCUUUUACAGUAUGAAAAUUGGUGAUUUAUAAUAACUUAGCAAAUCGCAUAGUGAAAACAGGCGAUAAAUCAUUCAAGUUUCUGACCUAUCAGCUUUCGACGGUAUGGUAUUGGCUUACCGUGGCAGUGACGGUUAACGGGGGAUUAGGGUUCGAUUCCGGAGAGGGAGCCUGAGAAACGGCUACCACAUCUAAGGAAGGCAGCAGGCGCGCAAAUUACCCAAUUCUAACAGUUUGAGAGAGGUAGUAACAAGAAAUAACAAUACAAGGCAGUUAAAAUGCUUUGUAAUUGGAAUGAUAGAAAUUUAAACCCUUUUUAAAGUAUCAAUUGGAGGGCAAGUCUGGUGCCAGCAGCCGCGGUAAUUCCAGCUCCAAUAGCGUAUAUUAAAAUUGUUGCAGUUAAAAAGCUCGUAGUUGAAGUUCUGCUAAAAGUAACCGGUCUGCUUUGAAUAAAAGUGGUAUCUUGGUAUGUAUUUAGCAAUGAUGUCCUUUGAAGUGUUUUUUACUUUAUUGUAAUAAAGCAUAUUCAGGACUUUUACUUUGAGAAAAUUAGAGU
rnacentral:rRNA from 1 species